UGUCCACUACUUUGGCCAAACCGCAUACCCAUGAGCCAAACCAUUUUAAUUUCCCGUUUCCUUUUAGGCGUCAUCCACCGGCCUCGUCCUCACCAUCCACGGCGCACCUCCCGUCGACCAGCGGCAGCGUCAACCUUCUCCCCUCCGGCGUCGGCGAGCCUCCCCCUCGUUCCACGCCCUCCCCCCAACAGCAGCGGCGCAGCCAGGUUCAGCACGCUCGAUGGCCCUCCUCUAGCAGAUCUAGCCACAAGCGGCUCGCCUCCUGAGGAUGCGGCCCGUCGGCGGUGCAGCUGCACUACAAGGCCACGACGUGGUCGCCCCUCCACCUCCCCUAGCGGAUCCACCUCAAGGCUCGACCCCUGCGUCACCUAUGGUGUUGGGGCUCCGUCCCACCAUGGUGGCUCCAGCAUCGGCCGGUAUGACGGCCUUUGGGCCACGACGCGGCCAUCUGCGGCUAAGGGUAGAUCUGGUGGCGCCGACCCUCUCCCACGAUCCAUGGCAGGCUUCCUCCUCUGCAGGCUGUUGCACGGCGGCCCUGUUUCCCUAGGCAAUGGUCGCUACGGCAGCGACCUUUCUCAAGUAAUCUUGUCAUGGCCAGCAAUUUCUUUAGAUCUGCCAAGGUCUUUUUGAUGCAGGUGCCUUCCUAUGCUAUCGUGUGGCUGCAACAAGUAUGAAUAUACACCUCAUCUACAUAUACUCCUGCAUGAUUGGAGUAUGUAUCACUUCAUACUUGAUGCGCUAGAUGUAGCAGAAUUGCAUUAUCAGUUUGCCUGUACAUUAUAAAUAGAGCUACUGCAAUCACCUCGAGAAUUGCAUCAGUUUGUCUGUGCAUACUCUCUUUUCAAAAUUAUGCACGCAUGCUACCAUACCAUUUUUUCUCCUCAAAACUCUGUUAAUUAGUAAUGCACACCACUAAUUUAAGGUGUAUGUACUGAUACCCAUGUCAAAAAGUAUGCCAGAGUAUGAGGUAUGUGUACAUACUAAAAGUAUAAAGCACGCGUGUACUUGUUUUCUGAAGCAGUAUUUGUUCAUACUAUUUUAAUAUAAAGUAUUGGUCCAUAGUA